UAAUACGGAGGGUGCGAGCGUUAUCCGGAUUUACUGGGUUUAAAGGGUGUGUAGGCGGGCUGUUAAGUCAGUGGUGAAAUCUCCGGGCUCAACCCGGAAACUGCCAUUGAUACUAAUGGUCUUGAAUGUUGUUGAGGUAGGCGGAAUAUGUCAUGUAGCGGUGAAAUGCUUAGAGAUGACAUAGAACACCGAUUGCGAAGGCAGCUUACUAAACAAAUAUUGACGCUGAGGCACGAAAGCGUGGGGAUCAAACAGGAUUAGAUACCCUGGUAGUCCACGCCCUAAACGAUGAUUACUGGACAUACGCGAUAUACAGUGUGUGUCUAAGCGAAAGCAUUAAGUAAUCCACCUGGGAAGUACGUCCGCAAGGAUG
rnacentral:rRNA from 1 species